CCCGGAACCGCUGGGCGCGGGUGAAAGGUCACUCAUAGCGGCGCCCGGCGCGACCAUUCGCUGCGGCGCAUCCCGGCAGCCACCGCGGCGACUUGGCGGCGGGUGCCAUGCGCCUGGAGCUUCACGUUCUCUGCCCCCACCCACCGCGCCGGCGCUCCCUGGUCACGCCUUGGGAAGCGCGCACCUGCCAAGCAGGAUGAAUAGUCUGAUACCAUGUGAGAUGAGGAAAUAAGAAGCUUUCUGCUGACUUCAUUGUGACCCAGGGUCCAAAAGGCAAUUAGAAUCUGGAGGUGCCUCAGUGGUCAACUAGGUCAACACCUCUGGCUUCCAAAAAGGGAAACUUAGAAACAAAAUGAAGAAAUGACUGGCCCAAGUUCACAUUGUCAACCCAAGGCUAAAAUCCAAGAUUCCUAACUCUCAUUUUUCUUCCUUUUUGCUACCCUUGAUUUCUUUUUUCUUCCUUCUUUUUCAAAAUAUAUUGUGCUCCUAUUAUAAAGCAAGAUUCUAGGAAUACAGAUAUAAAGAAGAUUUAGUCAUUGCCUUCAAAUCUAGUUUUACUUCAAGCUAAUUUUUUUAGCCAUUUUCAGGGAAAGAAUUUGUUGGGAAAUGACCAAACAACUAUGCAGGGGAAGGUUCUCAAUCAUCCACAAAUUGACUCACAAUAUGAUUAAUUAAUUAUGAGUUUUAACUGGAAAGUACAAUCACAAAUGUGAAAAUUGCCCUUGAUCAGAUUCAAACCAUUUCAUAAAGAGGUAAGGCAUACUUUCAAAUGGCCUGUAUUAACCUUUAUCUUAUUUCUCCUUUGCGGAUUCAACUGUGAGCUAUCUUGCAAAAAAUACAAGAAGAUAUGGAAAGUUUUCAUGAGUGCCUACCACCUAAUCCCAAACACUGUCAUUCAUAUGCGCAUCAUUGAGCAAAUCUUUAUUGAGGAUCUAUAUGCCAGGUGUGUGCUAAGCGCUGGGCUUAGUGUGGCAAAGAGAAGAGAUAUGACCUUGAGGUUUCUGCUCUCACAAAGCUUGCAGUCUCCUAUUUGUGUAUGUGUAAUUCUCUAAUGCUCAGGAAAGCUGUUUACCUCAUUUUGCUUUGGCAUCAUAUUUUUAGGCUAUAGAAAUCAGAGAGUAUGCAAACAUUUUCUAAAAUUACUCUGCCCCACAAAAAGGGAAACACAAAUAACAAUUUGGGGCCAGAUAGAACUGGAUUUGAAUUCCAAGCCUGCCCUUUACAAGCUAUUAAACAAACGAAUUCUCUGAGCCCCUGUUGCUUUCAUGAAGUGGAAAUAAUAUGUAUCCCUUGUAAGGGAUCAUAUCCUUAUUAAUACCUAAAUAGAGACAUUACUUUUUGAGUCAAAAAUAUGAAUUCUAUGGUCCAUCUCCUAAAAUGCAGAAAAAUUAUCAAAAGAGAAGCAUUAUUAAUAUUGUUCACUUAGUUUCAUCAAGAAUGUCACUUUCCAGCAUUAAUACAGACAGAUAUUCUUUGCCAUUGACUUUUUCCUGUUUUAAAAUAAGGUGAGAUGCUCUAACAAUGGAUGCCACUCCAACAGAGUUUCUGUAAGGCUGUUAGUUUCUUUUUCCAUGGAUAGUUUCCAUGGCCUUGCUCCACAUAAACUAAGCCCUAUUAUUUCAAUUAUGGUGACUAAAUCUAGUAUGACCAUUAUUUGUCUGUAUAAGGGAUCUUGUAGUAAUCUGUGUAUAAACUUAUCACUCCAUCUAUUUAAUGAUUUGACUAAGUCAAGGAUCAUAUUUUAUUUCCCUCUGUUCUCCCCUCCCAGUGGUACCUCACACAGAAUUAGAGCACACUAAAUGUGUGCUGAGUAAAAAGACUAUCUUUCUAUGUGCUUUUUGACAUGUAAGCUGAGAGAGAAAUUUUAGCAUAUGUUGUAGGUAAACUUACUUUGUUUUACCUGAGAGUAGCAAGUAUCAAACAGAUCCUACUCCUGUUACAAUCCUGCUAGAGGAAAAAAAGUAGUUAAAUUCCCCAAUCUCUACUCAAACCAAAACAAAACUUCAAAAAUAUUGAGACACAGAGAGAAGGAAUAGGAUGGGGUCAGUGAGGACUGGUGUUUGUGCAUGGUGUGCAUGCAGCAGGCUAACGUCCUUUCCCUGUUGUAAUAGCUCCGAAUGUAAGUGCCACACACCACCAGGUCUAUGAAAAGCCCAGGGUUUAAAGGUCAAACAAGUUUGGGAAAGCUUGCCCAGCAUUUUCCUCUCUUGCAAGUUGGCGGUGCAUACUGGUAAAUUAAAGCCUAUAAAAACUGCUUAACAUUGUUUUACCUUGCAGUCCCCAAAUUCAUUUGACCAACAUUUCACCUAUAAACAUCCCGCAGAUCUGGUAGAUUCUGUGGAAGGCACAGACUUCAGGGAACUGCUCCACUGUGUUGAAAGGACUUCUUUCUCUUGUUCAUUCACACACAAAAAGCUGCCAUUUUAUUUCCAAAUCCUACAGGUCUGGGAAUGUGAGUAUUUCCAGCAAUGUUUUAACUAUAGAAAAGUGAGACCACUUCCUGACAAUUUAGCGGUCCCAGAAAGUUUAUACAAUUGAAUUUUAGGUAUGUUUAAGAAGUCAGUUCAAAUCCAGGAAAUGGCUUCCCAGCAAUGCCUGGAAUGUCCUCAUAAAAACUGAGAAACAGAUAUCCAAGUCCUGUUUUGGAUCUUGGAGGGACAGAGAGAAAGAAGAGAAAAACAUAAAAUUAUAGUCCCAAAUCUCAUGAUGUUUCUUCCAGUUUUCUACAAAUAAAUAUCCACUUUCUCUGAACUC